rnacentral:rRNA from 1 species
UACGGGAGGCAGCAGUGGGGAAUAUUGCACAAUGGGCGAAAGCCUGAUGCAGCUAUGCCGCGUGUAUGAAGAAGGCCUUAGGGUUGUAAAGUACUUUCAUCGGGGAGGAAAAAACAAAACUAAUAAUUUUAUUUCUUGACGUUACCCGAAAAAGAAGCACCGGCUAACUCCGUGCCAGCAGCCGCGGUAAUACGGAGGGUGCUAGCGUUAAUCAGAAUUACUGGGCGUAAAGAGCACGUAGGUGGUUUUUUUAAAGUUCAGAUGUGAAAUCCCUGGGCUUAACCUAGGAACUGCAUUUUGAAACUGAAAUACUAGAGUAUCGUAGAGGGAGGUAGAAUUCUAGGUGUAGCGGUGAAAUGCGUAGAUAUCUGGAGGAAUACCUGUGGCGAAAGCGGCCUCCUAAACGAAUACUGACACUGAGGUGCGAAAGCGUGGGGAGCAAACAGGGAUUAGAUACC